UGCCGUGAAAUGAGCAAAUUGAAAGUGAAGU
rnacentral:piRNA from 1 species